ensembl:lncRNA
CAGCGAAUCUCCCGAACAGAGAAAAACCCGGGCUAUUUAUGGGGAAGGAGAGGGGCGGGGGGAAGCCCGAGAUACCUGUAUCGGGGUGGGACAGCAGGGGAGAACACCAAUGAAACACAACAGUUUAACAUAUCUAACUCAAAGACCCCUGGGAGCAACACAUUGUGUCUCUCUCACAGAGAAGUAUCUCCUCUCCAGGGGAGAGCCAGGAUCCCGGGCCUACCGGGCUCCUCCGUACCCACAACUUCCCCUUCUUUACUUAUUAAAAAGGCAUCCCCUAGAGAGUUAGCUGAUAGCUUCUUAAAACAUGAAAACAUACUUAGGAAGAUAAUAACAAUCAAGAAAACCCAACAAAUGUUCUUGAGGACGGAGGCAACCCAUCUCUCGAGUCCCCAGCUCACAAAAAGGUCUUCAAGCCACUGGGGCUCCUUUUCAGCCUGGAGUUUUUGGACUGCAUGUUGGAGUCUCUGGAUGCGGGCGUGGAUGUCUUCACUGGGGCUGGAGAGGUUAAAGCAGCACAAACCAUCUGAUUCCUCGCAGCCGUGUCCAUGGGCCAGGAGCAGAAAGUCUAUGGCAGCUCGGUUUUGUUGGGAAGGGAUUUCUGCCCACACUCUAUCCCCACAGAUUAAGAACACUCCCUGGGGCAGCACUCUGGGAUAGUGAGAGGAGGUGGAUCGUGUGCUGCUGCCGUAAUUGCACCAUUUGGACUGACUGUAAAUAUUACUGUUGGGAGUCACAUUUUUCCUUGAUUUAAUUGCCUUUUGGUAUUUCGAGGCAGGCCAUGCAUUGGCUACUGGGUGAUAAUUAAAAUUUAUGCAAUAGGUAGCUUUGGAGGAUCCCAAAAGCUCUAAUUCCUGGGGUUCCUCUGGUGCAUGGGGUAAGAUCUUUGUCCACUCACCCCAAGUGUCUACUGGGUUGGGUUCUUUCCCUGUGAAAGGAUAUUCACGGGGCUUUAAAGGAAUCCCUACCAGGCAGGAUGACAGAGGGUUGGUAGCGCUGCUCAUGGACAAGCACAUGUGGUCUUGUUGGAGCGUCUUUGCAAGGGUGAUCCACACGUUCUCCUGGGGCUGUGCUACUAGGCAGGCAUUCACAGCUGAUGUUUUCAGGAGCAUCCAGAUAAUCAGGAACAUCAGGAACUCAAGGAAGGUUUUGCUCUCCGUUUUCUAUAAUAGGACAUAAAAGAUUAGCUCUGAUUUUUGGAGGCGGGGGGAGCUAUUUUCUUUCUCCCUUUCCUCUCCUGUCUCCCCCCUCUUUAAAAAAAACAGAAACAAAAAAACCCCAAACAAUUAUAAGCAAGGUUAUUCUGUGUGUUGGGGACACAUGACCCGACACCAGCAGCAGCACAGAGGUGCACUUUGGUGUAAGCCAGCAAUUUGGGCUAGGCAACGAGGGCAAGAAGGGGAAGGGGAAGGGAGUUAAGAAGACUUGUGUACUGUCACAGUGUCAGGCGUGAUGUUGGCAGUCGUCUCAUUGCGGCCCUGGUAGGAGGACGGUUUGGCCUCUGUCUGGUUGUUGGUCUGGUGGCAGGUCGGUUCUGUGGACUCCGACGACGUCUCCGCUUCCAGGCUGCAGUGGGCUGCUGUUUUUCUGGACCUGUGUGGGUCUCAGGAGACUUUGAAAGUUCUGAAUCUGGUGCAGGGUUUGUAGGGCCUAAAUAAGG